rnacentral:lncRNA from 1 species
AGGAUGCCUUUUUAAAAAAAAAUAUAAAUUAAUAGUAAUAAAUAAAGAAAUUUAAAGGCUACCCCACAUGCGUUUCAAAUCCAAAACCUUUGAUUUUAAGUAUUAACCCAUUACCGAUUGACCAACACACACAUAACAACAAUACUUUUUUUUUUUUUUUUUUUUUUAAGGAAACAACGAUACUUUUUUUUUUGAUGAAAUUUCUAAAUAAAUAAUACAAACCACUCACACACCCCACCUAUGGUGGUUAAUUGUGGUCGAGAGUAUUCGAACCUGUGACCUCUUGGACAACAGGCAACCACCCCAACCACUAGGCCAUCCCAAGGGGACGAAAUAACGAUUCUUGUAUUUUAGUCAGCUUGCUUUGCAUUCUGUACCAGUACUGCCUAACUUUUGAACACC